UACGUAGGGUGCGAGCGUUGUCCGGAAUUAUUGGGCGUAAAGAGCUUGUAGGUGGUUUGUCGCGUCUGCUGUGAAAAUCCGAGGCUCAACCUCGGACUUGCAGUGGGUACGGGCAGACUAGAGUGUGGUAGGGGAGACUGGAAUUCCUGGUGUAGCGGUGGAAUGCGCAGAUAUCAGGAGGAACACCGGUGGCGAAGGCGGGUCUCUGGGCCGAUGACUGACGCUGGAGGAGCGAAAGCGUGGGGAGUGAACAGG
rnacentral:rRNA from 1 species